GGUUUCGCGCACCAGCGGAUCGGCGAAGUUCGACAGCUGGAAGGGGUCGAAGUAACCGCCCGGAUUGGCCGUCAUCCAAGAGUAGAUACGGCUGGAGCCGAGCCACUGCAGCAGCAGGUAGCAGGCUUCCGGAUGCUUGCUCUGCGACGAGACCGAGGCCGAGAGGUUGAGCCACAGAACCGAGCGGCGCACCAGCUGGCCGUCGAUUUCGCGGCCGGGCGGCAGCAUCG
rnacentral:ncRNA from 1 species